UUUGGAUCUGGUUUUGUAGAACUGCUGGCUUAGCUGUAUCUUAUCGUAAUCACUGGUGCAUUUGAUAGUUGCUUUAAUGAAGAGAUACACUCACCACAUGCAAGCCAGUGUGCUCUUGGAAGGUCUAGGAAGCUGUGUGAUUGGGGUCAUAGAAAAUUUCAAAGAAAAAUAAUACAGCAUUUCCCCACAGUCUCUCCUUGACAGGCCUGCAGGAGGGCCACGAGAGGGCGAUGUGUUAGCAGAAAAAACUUCCACAACGCGCUAAAGGCAAAGUAAGGACCGAAUUUUGUUCCUGUUGGAAGAAAAAGAUGCUUUCCUUCAUAUGGCAAAUACGAUGCUGUUUUAAAACUACACAGAUGAAAUCCUCCAGGAACUCUGAAGAUGGAAAUCCAUCUAGCCAUGCAUUGCCAGCAAGCGCUUGAUGUUUUCAGCAUUUCAUUUGGGAAAAGAUAGUAAGAAAGCAGCAGCUGAUUGAGAGGAAGAACACAGAAGAGAACAGAGGGAAGGGAAGGCUGACAGCUUCUACGUGGAAAUUCACGAAUGUCUCAGCAUCAUUCCCUACAGCCUUCAAGGGGUAUGUAAUGUGUAUGUGCACAUGAGGCUCUGAUAUGUACUCUGCCCAUGAUAUUUUCCUCUUCAACAACAAAAAAUAUAUAUAUAUUUGAGGUGAUGUUAUACCUGACUACACCAAAUUGCUCGUAUCACCUUUGAUCACCCCAUCUCCCUUGACCCUCAUCUGUCCUUAAUGUCCAGACAUACAAUUAAUCUAUGUACAUCUUGUUAAUUUAUAAUUGUAGCUCAGGCAAGUGUUAUUGCCCUGUUAUGGGGAAAGUGCUCAAGUACAUUUAUUUACUUCAUGGAUUGUUUCACUGAGUUCCUUACUUGGGAUGACUUUAGUGGGUUUGAGAACUUGCCAGCUCUUUUCUCCAUUAGUGCUUGUCUAGCUGACUGCUGCUUCCCAGCUGCUUAGGAGCAUCUUACAAACUUGAGCUCAAAGAGGUCUUUAUGUUCUGUGAGAGGUAUUUGGGAACUAAUAGCAACAGUGCAUCAAAUGGAUUAAUCUAGUUUGAAAGCCACUUCUUUAUGUGACCAAGUGACAGGACAUUGUGUCAGGUUUGCCAUAGAAAAUGCAUAUAGCCCUACCUAGCCUUGCACGUGAGCGAGCUAUGCAUUGUCUGUACAGCCCCAGCAGAAGAGAAAGUCUAGGCAACAACUGAGUGCCAGCAGGCAGGGAGAGAGCGAGCAGUAUGGCUUCAGGGAGAUGUAGCAUUUUUCAAUGAUGGUUAAUUUUUUUUAAGCAAUGAUUUUCUGUUUAGUGGUUAACGGAGGUUGAUGAGCUAAAAAUCCUAUUCAUUAAGCAAAUUUUUAAAAAAUUUAAUCCUUAGUCUUCCAGGAGGUGGCAGUAUUACUUGGUGCUAAAGCAAGUUAACCCAAAGGAUCUGUGAGCAAUUUUUGGUUACCAUUGCAUUGCUUUUUGUACCACAGAUGACCAAGUGAGUCUUCCAGGACACAGCUUGAGCUCUCCUCUAAUCUCAAAGCCCACUGCUAUCAUGGUGGAGUCUCUGGGAGCUAAAGCUGUCUUCUUGCUGAUUUCUUUUGGCUGCCUCUUUGUCCUUUAAGCAUAGAGGAAGUUGUCUGGAACAGGGAAGCUGCCCCUGGGGCCAUUUGCUCUGUCUGUUUUAGUCAUGGCACAGCUGAAGUGUCAGUAUGGAGUAUUUUUUUUUGUUUUCGUCUGGAGAGAGGACUUUUAAUAGUUGAUCCUCUUCAAUAUGUAGUGAUAGAAUGGAUGAUAUUUUCAUAUCUCUUUCAUUCAUUCAUAUUACUGUGAUUCUGUGACAUUUUUUUGCUUUUGCCUUUGCAAUGCCAUGCUACCACCUCAGGUUAUAUCUAGCUUAUGAAUAUGUUGAAAGGAAAGAAGCCGUGCCCAUUUCACAUAAACAGGUAAGGCUGUUGUGGUAAUAUUAGAGUUGCUGUCUUUUUUUCCACAGAUCACAGAUUCAGCUCUGUCUUCUCUGUAGUCACUAUAAAUUAUACAUUGCAGAGAAUGUAGUAAAGUUAGGAAAUGCCAGGCUGACAUCUGUACGUGUGCUCGGCAACUCAUGUAAACUUUUUAAAAUCUGUUUUUGCCUGAUUGCAACAUUGCUGUAGUGAUCUUUAUGUCCUUCAUAAAGUGCUAAGAGGCUGCAAGGUGCCAUUCAUGCAGUAAAUGGUACUGGCAGAUCCCAGUGUUAUUUUAUUUGGCCUCUUUUGCCACACGGACAGCUCUGUAACUGCAGUUGAGGUUCUGGAAGGUCUCAUAGGAUCAGUACAACCUUCUCCCACAUUGUUGCUGAGAGUGGAAGUUUUAUAGGCCAGUUCUGUCUUCAAGCCAUAAUAUAUUUCAUAUAAGUGAGUCAAAUGAAAGUCAAAUAUGUACAAGACUUGGAAGACAUUUGGGAGUAUAAGUUUUGUUCUGGGAUCUCAGAAAAACAACAAUUCAGUGUAUUUCUUCUUUAUUUUGCAAUAUAUAUUUUAAUUUCACAAACUCUCAUUAUAAUCAACCAGGAGAGGACCCAUCUGCCCAGCUGUUGAUCCAUCUCCACCACAGGGGAUAAUAUGUACUGGGACAAGAAUACAGUAGAUGAUACUCUUCUAACAGAAAGAAACCACUGAUUUAUGUUUACCUUUACAAAUAGACCACAAACAAACUGAAAAUUCAGAGGAGAGAGGUACCUCAAGCAGAGUCUGUUGGAAUCCAGGAGUACAAGCAUCUUGUGCUGAGAGGAUUAAGUAGCAGCAGCAGCAGGGCUCUCAGAGCACUAGUCCACACACCCUGAUAUGUCAGGGUGUCAGGAGCCAGAUAGGAACCUGAGCUGGGUGAGGUAGAGGAGAGGUGAGCCUGCAGAGGAGAGCCUGUAUAAUUUUGUACAGGAAGCUGUCUCCUUCCCUGUACAAUUGCCUACUCUGUUCAGAGCCAGCUGUGGUGAUUGUAAAAGCACCACGCAAUUUUCUUUUGUAAGCAUGUUUCUCUCCA